rnacentral:rRNA from 1 species
UACAGAGGUCUCGAGCGUUGUUCGGAUUCAUUGGGCGUAAAGGGUGCGUAGGUGGCGGGGUAAGUCGGAUGUGAAAUCCCGGAGCUCAACUCCGGAACUGCAUUCGAUACUGCCUUGCUUGAGUACUGGAGAGGAGAUCGGAAUUUACGGUGUAGCAGUGAAAUGCGUAGAUAUCGUAAGGAAGACCAGUGGCGAAGGCGGAUCUCUGGACAGUUCUGACACAGAGGCACGAAGGCCAGGGGAGCAAACGGG